GACGGCAGGUUACAAUGAGAGAAAAAAAUAAUCUGAAGCCAGGCUUCAUUCACAGAUUCAUUGUCUCAUUGCUAGUAUAAUAAUUCAUUGGGAGGUAUUGUGGGGAGUGUGCUGAACACGGCUCCUCAGUCUCGCCCUCUCCAGCCAUGUACAACGAACCAACUCUCGGAUUUCCCGUAUGAUAACAGUACCUGGGUUUGCACCAAACGAGAGGGAAGGCUCGCUAUGAGGCUCUGCUCAUAGGGGUCGUGCAAGCAACGUCGUGGUUAACUGCAUGGUGUGGUGUAGUCAACUGACAUGUGUCAAACGCAUAAGCCGGAGUAGUUAUGCAAAGCGUAAGUGGUAGUUCCCAUUUUGUUUUGCUUAAUAUAUUAUCAUCUACUUACUUUGUUUUUGCUUGUUAGUUAUUGUUUGACGGCAACAUUAUUGACACAUACGUGGAGCACUUCAAAUCAAGGUAUAUCCACAACUUUCUAUGUACGUACUACCCUAACACCAUUCGAUGAACUUUUCAGAGAACAUGUGUAUGAUUUCUUUGGAAAUCUAAAAACACGGUUUAUGACGAUGGAUGAGGGCGAUGUAAUAUCAGGAGGUGAUGAUUUGUCUGGUGAUCUCAGCACAGACAAGAUUGCAUCAAAUAGUCAAGACCAUCCAGCAAUCCAGUCACUGUCGUCAGGUCAGGAAAGCAAUGAAUUAUCAGACAAUCAAAACACUAAAUCUGCGCCUGAUGAAAUGCUGUGUUCCUUACACAUCAAGAGCAGUGAUAAGUAUCAAGAUUUUGGUAGAGUCAUUUGCUUCAAAGAUGACAAGUUGGCAAAAUGCAAGGAAAUAUUAAUGCUACGAAAACAAAAAAACUUGAAAUAUGCUGACAUAUCCCUGCCAACUGUAGUAGACAGUAUCCAUGGUUAUCACCACGAGUGCUAUAGGAAAUUUACAGCAUUACCAAAGGCUCACAGAUCUGCAACCAAACCUUCGUGUCACAUGAGCCAAGAAAAUCCUUCAUGUCACAUGAGCCAAGAAAAACAAUCACUAAGCUUGAACGAAUCGGCAGCAACAUCGAAAGAGGGCACAUGUGAUUUCCAGCCGAUGUGCUUGUUUUGUGGAUCGGCUAGAAAA